rnacentral:ncRNA from 1 species
CGAUACUCCGAAAAGACCGGACGGCAACGACCGGCCACCGAAGGUGCAACCUCCCGCGCGGAGGGAAUCUCUCAGGUAACGAAACGGGGGCA